AAUUGCUUGUUGGUUUUCAAAGCUCCAGGAUUUUGAUGAGCUGAUGCCACUGCUGCAUGAGGUGAGUUUUAGGACAUGAUAGCUUCUGUGACGGUGAUGCUGUGGAACACCUGAGAAGAACAUGUGAGACUUGUGGAUCUCAAAUAUUCUGGGUAACUGAUGAGGAAGAAUCUCUGCAAACAAGAAAACAAGAAUAUAAGGUCUGGCAAAUUUGUCGCUGGAGGAGACUGUAAAUCAGAGCAGAAGACAACAGCAUAAAAGAGGUCCCCAGUGUUUCAGCUCAGGCGCAGAGGAGAGUACAACAUGACAUAACUCACUCAAGGCAAU